rnacentral:rRNA from 1 species
AACGAACGCUGGCGGCAUGCCUAACACAUGCAAGUCGAACGAGAUCUUCGGGUCUAGUGGCGCACGGGUGCGUAACGCGUGGGAAUCUGCCCUUUGGUUCGGAAUAACAGUUGGAAACGACUGCUAAUACCGGAUGAUGACGAAAGUCCAAAGAUUUAUCGCCAGAGGAUGAGCCCGCGUAGGAUUAGCUAGUUGGUGUGGUAAAGGCGCACCAAGGCGACGAUCCUUAGCUGGUCUGAGGGGAUGAUCAGCCACACUGGGACUGAGACACGGCCCAGACUCCUACGGGAGGCAGCAGUGGGGAAUAUUGGACAAUGGGCGAAAGCCUGAUCCAGCAAUGCCGCGUGAGUGAUGAAGGCCUUAGGGUUGUAAAGCUCUUUUACCCGGGAUGAUAAUGAUAGUACCGGGAGAAUAAGCUCCGGCUAACUCCGUGCCAGCCGCCGCAGUAA